UUGGAGGGCAAGUCUGGUGCCAGCAGCCGCGGUAAUUCCAGCUCCAAUAGCGUAUAUUAAAGUUGUUGCAGUUAAAAAGCUCGUAGUUGAAUUUCGAGACCGGCUUACUGGUCGUGCUAUUGUACGUACUGGUAUAAUCGGUUUCUCCUUUCUGACGAACUAUAAUGCCAUUAAUUUGGUGUUAUAGGGAAUCAGGACUGUUACUUUGAAAAAAUUAGAGUGUUUAAAGCAGGC
rnacentral:rRNA from 1 species